CCUUCAGAAUGAAGACCCAAAGAUGUCGGGGGGCUAUCUAGUUUUAUGCUUAGGUUCGAUGAAGCAGGGACAGCCACACGGAAAUGUGAUUGGACAAAAAGGGUAUGAUCUAACAAUAGACUGAGUUGGUGGGGAUGGGAUUCAGCAAGGCCUGUCUGUCUAGAUUCUUUGUUUCUUCUCUGACCAGGCAUGUCUUCCUUCCAACAGGGGGCAGGAUCUUUUCUGGAAUGGAGGUCUUAUGACCUAUGAUCAAACAAAGAAAUAUAGACUCACUAUGAGGGGGCCCGUGAACUCACUGCUCUUCCACGUAGCCACUGAGAUGUAUCCAUACAUGCAUGUGGCAACAAAGAAAAGGUUUUAGAUGUCUACAGUGUGUGGCCUGCAAAGAGAACAGCUUUACAUAAUUACAAAAGACAAGGAAGAUUGGUUUCAGAAAAGCCAAUGGUGGAAUAGACGAUUACACAUAAAAUUCUGGGCAAGAAGACAAUGACAAUAUCAAGAGAGAGAGAGCUCAAGAGAGCGAUACUAAGAACUCAUUCAGAAAUCAAGAAAACCCAAAUAGCAUUUAUCCAAGCAGAGAGCAGCUCUGCAGUGUUCUAUUAAGCAAAAGGAAGGCAGAUGUUCCAUCUUGUCCCUGUUGGGAAGGUUUUCAUUUGUAGCUGGGUGAUGUUUUUAAAUAAGACUUUCCUAAGUACUGCUUUGUAGAAGGAAAUCUAAUUUCACAACAGGCUAGAGGAGUUUUAGGCCACUCUGGUAGCUCUCAGA